GGCGCGGCGAUAGCACGUUGAAAGCACCAGUUCUGAAUGGAUCACUGAAGUAAAGCAACGUUGCACGUGGUUAGUAUCUGGAUGGUGACCAUCUGGACAAACGUGCGCCGAUGGCU
rnacentral:rRNA from 1 species